rnacentral:rRNA from 1 species
UACGUAGGGUGCGAGCGUUAAUCGGAAUUCUGGGCGUAAAGCGUGCGCAGGCGGUCUGUUAAGACCGAUGUGAAAUCCCCGGGCUUAACCUGGGAACUGCAUUGGUGACUGGGCAGGCUUUGAGUGUGGCAGAGGGGAGGUAGAAUUCCACGUGUAGCAGUGAAAUGCGUAGAUAAUCGGAGAGGAACACCUGCGGCGAAGGCGGGUUGCUGGGCCGACACGUGACGCUGAUGCGCGAAAGCCAGGGGAGGCGAACGGG